CCGAAUAUAGCUCAGCGGGAGACUGUAGUGUUAUAUAGUAAUCUCUAGGUCCCUGGUUCAAAUCCGGGUGUUCGGA